rnacentral:tmRNA from 1 species
GGGGUCGACUGGUAUUGACAGCGAGAUAGAUGUGACGGUAAGCAAGUCGAGCGCUGGACUACAGCUCGUAAAUCUCAUAGUACCACCAUUUUAAAUGGCGAGAAUAACUACGCUCUUGCAGCCUAAUCGACUGAAUUAUAGUAAGUCCAGGCCUUUGUCCCACUAGGUGGGAAGGUAAGAUGUCUUGGUGUGGCCCUUGUUGACGGCAACACAAUUCAAGGCACCAUAAAAGUCAACAUAGAAAUCUUGGAGCUUCGACAGGAUUUUAGAUCAAAGAAGCUAAGGUGUAGAUAGACGGUUUUCAGUCAUUCUAUAUUCGAAAAUCAUAUGAAAACUAAACUUGUAGAAAGCAGUUGUAUCACUUGUUUGGACGAGGGUUCGAUUCCCUCCGACUCCACAA